AAGUCGUAACAAGGUCUCCGUAGGGGAACCUGCGGAGGGAUCAUUUCCGAAAAAACUAAUCGAGUAGCUUGGAUUCUUGUAAAAGGGAGUUUGGGUGAAAGAUUAAAAAAGUUGGUUGUGCUCAAAUCUAAUUUGGGUGUGAUUUUGCUAUGAUUUGUUCGCAAGGACAGGUUGUAGUGAAGGAUUACCAGAAUCAUAUAAACUGUCAUCAAGGUAUCUUUAACUGAAUCCAAGAAAUAUCAAAAAUUGAUACGACAA
rnacentral:misc_RNA from 1 species